rnacentral:rRNA from 1 species
UGUGUAGGCGGAAAUCCAAGCGUCAUGUGAAAUCCCUCGGCUCAACCGAGGAAUUGCUUGGCGAACUGGGUUUCUUGAGGCAGAUAUGGGUGUGUGGAACUCUUGGUGGAGCGGUGGAAUGCGUAGAUAUCAAGAGGAACGCCAAUGGUGAAGACAGCACACUGGGUCUGUUCUGACGCUGAGACACGAAAGCGUGGGUAGCGAACAGGAUUAGAUACCCUGGUAGUCC